rnacentral:rRNA from 1 species
GAUGAACGCUGGCGGCGUGCCUAAUACAUGCAAGUCGAGCGAACAGACGAGGAGCUUGCUCCUCUGACGUUAGCGGCGGACGGGUGAGUAACACGUGGAUAACCUACCUAUAAGACUGGGAUAACUUCGGGAAACCGGAGCUAAUACCGGAUAAUAUCUUGAACCGCAUGGUUCAAUAGUGAAAGACGGUUUUGCUGUCACUUAUAGAUGGAUCCGCGCCGCAUUAGCUAGUUGGUAAGGUAACGGCUUACCAAGGCAACGAUGAGUAGCCGACCUGAGAGGGUGAUCGGCCACACUGGAACUGAGACACGGUCCAGACUCCUACGGGGGGCAGCAGUAGGGAAUCUUCCGCAAUGGGCGAAAGCUUGACGGAGCAACGCCGCGUGAGUGAUGAAGGUCUUCGGAUCGUAAAACUCUGUUAUUAGGGAAGAACAAAUGUGUAAGUAACUAUGCACGUCUUGACGGUACCUAAUCAGAAAGCCACGGCUAACUACGUG